AAUAAGAGUAAUUUUACACUGUUUAUAUUCAACAUUUAACUAUUUAUUUUAUUUGAUAUUUUUAUGAUUACUAUUUUUGUUGUUAUUUGAUGAUAAAACAAGAAUAAUAUUUUACGUGUGACUGAUUUUCUUAAUUUUUCAUAAAGUUUUUAAAUGCGAUGGAUGGUUAAAUAUUGAACACGGAUAGUAUGGCUCUACUUAUU
rnacentral:pre_miRNA from 1 species